rnacentral:rRNA from 1 species
AUUGAACGCUGGCGGCAUGCCUUACACAUGCAAGUCGAACGGUAACGGGCCUUCGGGUGCCGCCGAGUGGCGAACGGGUGAGUAAUACAUCGGCACGUGCCCGAUCUUGGGGGGUAACGCGUCGACAGCUUCCCUAAUACCCCAUACGAUCUACGGAUGACAGCCGGGGACCGCACGGCCUUGCGCGGACGGAGCUGCCGAGGGCAGAUCAGGUAGAGGGUGCGAUAAAAGCUUACCAAGCCGACGAUCUGUACCUGGUCUGAGAGGAUGGACAGCCACACUGGGAGAGAGACACAGCACAGACUCCUACGCGGGGAAGCAGUGGAGAAUCUUGGGCGAGGGGGGAGAGCCGGAUCCAGCAAUGCGGCGUGAAGGAUGAAGGACUUCGGGUGGGAAAGUGAUUUUGUACGGAGGGAAGAGACUUCUUUUAAUACGGGAGGGUAAUGACGGUACCGGAAGAAUAAGCCCCGGCUAACUACGUG